rnacentral:lncRNA from 1 species
UGGAAACCAUUUUAAUUGACAUUUCAAAAACCUUUACUAACAUCCAAGUAUUUUAAGCUUGUUAGAAAUUUGGAAGGAAAAGAUGUUUCAGAUGAUAAAACUGCAAGUGUAAACGACACUGAUGAAAGUCAAUUGAGCUCAAAUAUUGAGGGUGUCAUCUACAAUAUGUAUUACACCACUCUACAUGACCUCAAGACACAAAUUGAACAGACAAUACAAAAUAAGCCCCACUGUAAUACUGGCCCUGAUGACUUGGUCGAUACAGAAGACUAUGCUUGCUAAAAUAACAAAGAAUUCUCAAGCUCUCUCCUUGCAUGAUCAUAUAAGAUAUCUAAACAAUGGAAAACUUAGUCAACACCUUGGAGAAUAUGGUCGUGGAGCAUGGAAAAUUGUUGAUAGAGUUGGAAUUUCAAGCAUAUCGCAUCAAAGAAAUACCUGCUCAACUUAACAAUAUAAAAACUCCAUCUGAAUUAUAUGAUGUUGUCACAAGAAUGUGGUUUUGCUUCCAUAGCAUAGUAUUUUCACCAGAAACAGAAUCAUCAAAUGAGCUCUGCAGCAGAUGGAAUCUCACGUGAAACAACUAGUUUUCUCCCGUUGUAAUAGGUCCUGAAUCAUUUGGACAUUAAAAUCAGUUUCUCAACAUCAUUCACCAAAUGACAACACAAUAUCAAAGCAUUCAUGAUCACACUUAAGUUUAAAUCCAUAAGCCAACACAAUUUACUUUGAAAUCUACAUGAACCUAAAGCAAUCUAACUUCUUUUCUCAUCAACUAACAAUAACAGUUCAGAAUUGAAGUUUCCAUAAGUAGCUGACUAACAUGACAACUCAACAAUUCUAUUUAACUAUCACAUAAUAGAAGUUAUCAAGUUCAUUUUCACUUUAACUAUUCGCUUCACCACUAACAGGUAUGUAAAUCCCAAACUUACUGCAACUAACUGUAACAGAAGUGCAUAUAAUACACUAACAUCUAACCAAUUAACUAAAACUAACCGAAUUCAACUAAAUUAACAUAGUCAUAACAGAUAACAAACUUACAAUGGAAAUCUAACAGUGCCCUAACUGGAUUAAUAGACCUGGCCAAGCUGACCUAAUCUGUAACACGCAGCUUCUCUAUAUAAUCUUCAUCACACUCUUCAUUCUCUUUAAACCUUGAACAUUCCAGAAAUUACACUUCGAAUUCACUGUCACUUCCCUCUCAAUCGAUCACUAAUCACAAUCAAACACACGCAUACACAUAGAACAACCACAACUACAUAAGAAGAAGAAGCAAUGCAGAAAUAGAAGAAGAAACACGAGGAGGAAACGAGCAAAUGAAGAAGCGUACAUCACAAAGCUGAGCAAAGAAGAUAUAGAAUUUGAUACCUGUUGAACCGCCGCGUCGGAGUUUAAAUCCGGUAAGUCUUCUCAUACAUUCUUGCUUCAGUUGUUGAGUCGUCCGCUUUCUUCUUAGCUUCGCAUGCAAACAGAUCCAAUUUGGUGAAGGUUAACUUCGAAUAGGAAGAUUCAUCGUUGAAAAUCAGAGAUCGAGAUCCAGAGAGGCGUGAAGUUCAUUAUUGAAGCAGAAUAUUCAUGUCGACGUUUCUCGCAUUUGUUUAGAAGAGAAGGAGAGAAUGCUUGGAUUGAAGGUGCCACCACUGGGAAUCGAUCCGUGACCUAAUCCCUUGAAGCUGCGUUUGGAUCCGUUGCUUCCACUAGUGAACGCGUUUUUGUGUUUGGCAUUGGGUCUGGUUUGGACCUAAG